ACUGGAGAUGAAUGGGGACUGCUGUAUGACACGUGCUUCUGCACUGGGAAUUUCCGAAGACUGCCCUGGAGGAGUCAUUAUGUUAUAUAGAGCCUCAUGAUGACAGUGAGGACAGCAUGAAUGGUCAUGAAGAUACAAAAAAUGUAUAUUUUGUUCAAAUAUACAUUUUUCAAAAGAAAGUUGCAGAGAACAAAAUAUACAUUUUCUGAUUGCACAUGUCACUAGGAUAAUGAAACAUGCCAUAUCUCAAAUGGGAAAUGCCCAAGAAAGUGUUAAACAACGUGUACGUGUGUUCAUCAGCUUUAUAACACCUGAGGCAAGUGAAAGAUGCCCCCAAGAGAAACAGAAAUGGCCAGUGGAGAGGAUUUUCACUUUGCCAUGUCUACCAUAGGCUUUGACAGUUAUAUGGAACCUCUGAAAUUAUCCCUCAGAAACUCAGAAAGGCUGUGAAAGGAGAGAAGGGAAUUGGUGGAGAAGUCAGAGCUACAGAUGGGCUAAGUGAGGAGCUUACAGAAUAGGCAUUUGCUAGCCAGUCACCAGCCGGCUUCAUACCUGCUGCUGGGCAGCAACAAAUGUUAUGACUUAUGUACCACCAUAGCAAGAGAUUUCUGGUGUUCAACAAAUUCUGUUU
rnacentral:lncRNA from 1 species